UGUGUUGAUAAAGGCUGGGAAAACAAGGGGAAACCCUUGUUCAUCAUAAAAUCACCAAAUCGAAGGAAGAUUCGAGUCUCAAAUUCGUGCAUGAACAUAAAUUCGUGAUCAUCUAAGCUUGGAAAUCAUGAGGUGAUAGCUAGGACCUUAUGGAUGACGAUCAAGCAUUGUGGUUAAACCGAAAACACAACCGAAGUUCAAGCUUCCGCUUAGUUUCGUUAUUUUACGAACUGAAUCAAUUAUGAACUUUAUAAAGGUUUUAUAUUUUAUGAAGGAAUCAACGUGCCAAAGUGUUUAAUUGAGUGUUUUAAACACUUUGGCACAUUGAUGACAUUUUAUAAUAACUAGGUUUUUAUCUGUCGCGCGUUGCGGCGAAACGAAGCAAAUGAUAAUGUAAAAUAAAUGUUAUUUGAAAUUUUAUGUACCUAUCAGUAUAAAUUCGGUUU